UACGUAGGGUGCAAGCGUUGUCCGGAAUUAUUGGGCGUAAAGCGUCCGUAGGCGGUUUAUUAAGUCUGGCGUUAAAGGCUACUGCUCAACAGUGGUUAUGUGUCGGAAACUAGUAGACUAGAGUAUGGUAGAGGUUGCUGGAAUUCCUGGUGUAGCGGUGAAAUGCGUAGAUAUCAGGAGGAACACCUGUGGCGAAAGCGUGCAACUGGGCCUAUACUGACGCUAAUGGACGAAAGCUAGGGUAGCGAAAGGG
rnacentral:rRNA from 1 species